CAGGUGCUCAGGUUGCCGGAGCGGCGUGUUUGAACCGUUUGAACCACAGGCACCACAGGUUUGAACCGUUUCAACGGGAGUAAUGGCAAAACGGACGGAGUAGCACUGCGUGGCCUCGCAAUCCCAGCGACCCGACGAGCUCGCAAAGCGGUGCUCGGAAGACGACGCUCCCAAAGCCGACGACGCGCACUCACCUCUGUGGACAGCGAAGAAACAUCGUCGCACUGUGACAACGGCGACUAGUACACGGCGACUAGUACACGGCAUAAGUACAAGUGCAUGAUUUGUGAGAUGUGCUUCAAGAAAAUCUACAACUUAAAGAGGCACCUAAAGGAGGUUCACGGGGACGCUGACACCAGCUGGAUCACACUGUCCGCUGCCGCCUUGCAUGCGAUCUGUGUCCAACAGCUUUUGCAUUCCAUUGGGGACUUGCUGCGCCACUUUGAAGCGAAACACGGGAUCGUCGCGAGGCGUGACAAGUUAAAGUUCAAUUUGUUGAAAGAAUCCAGCGACUGGAGGGAGGCUAAGGAUGGCAGAGAGCAUGUUCGCUUCAUUCUCCACGACGGACCCAAGGGACGAGAUGAGGGUGUCCUGAAAAGAUGAGACUUCUCCAAAACCUAGGGUAAUCCCUCACAAAAAAAAGAUGGAAAAACAACCACGGUACUUUCCCCCCCAAAAGACGCCCUGGUUCUGGUCCCAUGCAUGGCAAACCUCCCACCAGCUUGGAGCAGCAGCACAUCAUGCAGGGCCUUGUAGCCAGGUGAGUUCCUACAGAAGGAGCAGCAUCCGCUCAGCUCCAUGUGGAUGUUCCGAGCAUGUCUGUGCUGGCCCUCAAGGAGCAUGACUACUUUGCAAAUCAGUAGUCGUGACAAUUGGACUACAAAAAAGGGGCAGUAUUCUUCUUGCAAAAAGGAAUAGCGUGUUGGACAGCUUGGAUUUCUUUCCACUUUGGAGAAUGUCACGAGAGGCUCGAGCUAAAGGCAAGAGGGGCAUCUCUUACCAUCUUCCAACAGGUUACGUUAGGCGAGGCAUUAUAUGCUGACCUUAAUCGUAACGCUUUUUUAACAACCAGGGAUUGGCAAUUUUAUUUCAGUUGAUCCGGAACGGUUGUCUCUAAAUUAACGGGCAACCAUAGUGCCUCGAAAUGCUCGUUUAUAAGCGUGCCCCUCGCUGAAACCGGCACUUUUUUUUAGAUAGUAUUACUGCACGAGAAUGUGCAGCUUUUUCCGCUUUGGAGAAUGUCAAGAGGUGCUCGAGCUCGCCAUUCUCCAACAGGUGGCUUAUGUUAUCAGCUGGUCUUAAUUGGAAAAGUUUUAAUGGCCAGAGCUUGCCAAUUUAAUUUCAAAUUUAUGCAGACAGGUUACCUCUAAGUUAAUGAGUAACCAUAAUACCUCAAGUUGCCUGUUACAUGCUUAUUUUUUAUUUUGCAUACUGCUGCACGGGAAUGUGAAAGUUGCAGUUCCCGCGACAUACCAAAUUAUUUUAGUAUGUGACUUAUAUGCUUUAGGAUAUAAUCGUUUUCUUGCUAAUAAGUGCCUAUAAUCACUGUUUCAUUGUUUUGUGAGCCAAGAGGGAGUGACCACUGGCGACCACAAGCAUGAGGAUCUGCUACAGGAAGCAUAAUCAUGUACCUGGACCUCGAGACCGGUGGCCUUGGAGAUGUCAGCAAGGCUACGGGGUGAUUUGCUCACCGCGAGGCUGUGCAAUUUAGUGGCAUGGAACUAGUGCCUCAUUUCGGAGAUCUCCAUGGCGAGUGAACAGUGUAAGGCUGGUGGGGCAAGAAGUUUAUUGGAAGGUUUUGUCAUGCCAUGGUGAUCAACAUUCAUGACAGGUUCAUCUGCCGAACUAGCUAUGCAAUAGAGGCAAGCCUGCUAAGUCACUGGGAUUAGUCGUCAGUGUGUGGCGCAGAGGACUUCUAGGGACAAGUCCAGGAGACGAACAUGCAAUAUUUAUAUUCUGUCUAUAUUUUGGUGAACCAAUGUUACUGUUGACAUUUAAGUGUGGGACAUUUCGCUUCUGCGGCAAAAGAUAUGUCAGGUGUGUAAUGGGGUCCCACAAAAAAUACCUAUGCUUUGUCUUGAGCUAUGUUCAUAGAGACAUGGCAAGGGGGGGCCAGAAGACUGAUGAAAGUUGUGCCGGUGAUGGUCACAGUUUGGGAGAUGUUGCGGAUGGCUAUGUGAUGGGGUGCUGUGACCUUUGAUGGACAACUGUUUCACUGAGUCAAACUGUGGCAGUGUUUCUGCUAUCUUGAGAGGCAGCAUGGUAACGCAUCAACACAGUGACAGAUUUUACUUUAAACUCAAAAUGGGGCACAGGAAUAAAACAACUUGCUUGCCUCAUCGAGGCACGUCUUCAAA
rnacentral:misc_RNA from 1 species